CCUCUAGUUCCUCAACGGCACAGCAAGGAGUGGCUAAAAAAAAGCACCUUAUAAUUGAAGACUCUUCCUUGAGUCAUAAAAGUCCAUUGAGACUCUUCUAGACUCUUCUAAAAGUCCAUUGAAAUUACGAAGGAAAACUGUGCUCACUUCGGAGAGGUGUGUGUCCACUUGGAGACGCCAGUUAGACCUCUCACUCAAAACCUUUGUCAGUUUUUGUUAUCUUAUAUUGCAACUACCCCAGGUUUCCCAUGAUUCUUCUUGUCAUGUUACUGACCCCUAUCCAGGUUUCCCAUGAUUCUUCUUAUCAUGUUACUGACCCCUAUCCAGGUUUCCCAUGAUUCUUCUUAUCAUGUUACUGACCCCUAUCCAGGUUUCCCAUGAUUCUUCUUGUCAUGUUACUGACCCCUAUCCAGAUUUCCCAUGAUUCUUCUUGUCAUGUUACUGACCCCUAUCCAGGUUUCCCAUGAUUCUUCUUAUCAUGUUACUGACCCCUAUCCAGAUUUCCCAUGAUUCUUCUUGUCAUGUUACUGACCCCUAUCCAGGUUUCCCAUGAUUCUUCUUGUCAUGUUACUGACCCCUAUCCAGAUUUCCCAUGAUUCUUCUUGUCAUGUUACUGACCCCUAUCCAGGUUUCCCAUGAUUCUUCUUAUCAUGUUACUGACCCCUAUCCAGAUUUCCCAUGAUUCUUCUUAUCAUGUUACUGACCCCUAUCCAGGUUUCCCAUGAUUCUUCUUAUCAUGUUACUGACCCCUAUCCAGGUUUCCCAUGAUUCUUCUUAUCAUGUUACUGACCCCUAUCCAGAUUUCCCAUGAUUCUUCUUGUCAUGUUACUGACCCCUAUCCAGGCUUCGUUAUCAACAAAUGUGGUGGAAAGUACAGUAAAU